rnacentral:rRNA from 1 species
CAAUAGCGUAUAUUAAAGUUGUUGCGGUUAAAAAGCUCGUAGUUGGAUUUCUGCCGAGGACGACCGGUCCGCCCUCUGGGUGAGUAUCUGGCUCGGCCUGGGCAUCUUCUUGGAGAACGUAGCUGCACUUGACUGUGUGGUGCGGUAUCCAGGACUUUUACUUUGAGGAAAUUAGAGUGUUUCAAGCAGGCUUACGCCUUGAAUACAUUAGCAUGGAAUAAUAAGAUAGGACCUCGGUUCUAUUUUGUUGGUUUCUAGAGCUGAGGUAAUGAUUAAUAGGGAUAGUUGGGGGCAUUCGUAUUUAACUGUCAGAGGUGAAAUUCUUGGAUUUACGGAAGACGAACUACUGCGAAAGCAUUUACCAAGGAUGUUUUCAUUA